rnacentral:rRNA from 1 species
GACGAACGCUGGCGGCGUGCUUAACACAUGCAAGUCGAACGGAAAGGCCCUUCGGGGUACUCGAGUGGCGAACGGGUGAGUAACACGUGGGUGAUCUGCCCUGCACUUUGGGAUAAGCCUGGGAAACUGGGUCUAAUACCGAAUAGGACCACGCGCUUCAUGGUGUGUGGUGGAAAGCUUUUGCGGUGUGGGAUGGGCCCGCGACCUGUCAGCUUGUUGGUGGGGUAAUGGCCUACCAAGGCGACGACGGGUAGCCGGCCUGAGAGGGUGACCGGCCACACUGGGACUGAGAUACGGCCCAGACUCCUACGGGAGGCAGCAGUGGGGAAUAUUGCACAAUGGGCGCAAGCCUGAUGCAGCGACGCCGCGUGAGGGAUGACGGCCUUCGGGUUGUAAACCUCUUUCAAUAGGGACGAAGCGCAAGUGACGGUACCUAUAGAAGAAGCACCGGCCAACUACGUGCCAGCAGCCGCGGUAAUACGUAGGGUGCGAGCGUUGUCCGGAAUUACUGGGCGUAAAGAGCUCGUAGGUGGUUUGUCGCGUUGUUCGUGAAAACUCACAGCUUAACUGUGGGCGUGCGGGCGAUACGGGCAGACUAGAGUACUGCAGGGGAGACUGGAAUUCCUGGUGUAGCGGUGGAAUGCGCAGAUAUCAGGAGGAACACCGGUGGCGAAGGCGGGUCUCUGGGCAGUAACUGACGCUGAGGAGCGAAAGCGUGGGGAGCGAACAGGAUUAGAUACCCUGGUAGUCCACGCCGUAAACGGUGGGUACUAGGUGUGGGUUCCUUCCUUGGGAUCCGUGCCGUAGCUAACGCAUUAAGUACCCCGCCUGGGGAGUACGGCCGCAAGGCUAAAACUCAAAGGAAUUGACGGGGGCCCGCACAAGCGGCGGAGCAUGUGGAUUAAUUCGAUGCAACGCGAAGAACCUUACCUGGGUUCGACAUGCACAGGACGCCGGCAGAGAUGUCGGUUCCCUUGUGGCCUGUGUGCAGGUGGUGCAUGGCUGUCGUCAGCUCGUGUCGUGAGAUGUUGGGUUAAGUCCCGCAACGAGCGCAACCCUUGUCCUAUGUUGCCAGCGGGUUAUGCCGGGGACUCGUAGGAGACUGCCGGGGUCAACUCGGAGGAAGGUGGGGAUGACGUCAAGUCAUCAUGCCCCUUAUGUCCAGGGCUUCACACAUGCUACAAUGGCCGGUACAAAGGGCUGCGAUGCCGUGAGGUGGAGCGAAUCCUUUCAAAGCCGGUCUCAGUUCGGAUCGGGGUCUGCAACUCGACCCCGUGAAGUCGGAGUCGCUAGUAAUCGCAGAUCAGCAACGCUGCGGUGAAUACGUUCCCGGGCCU